UACGGAGGGUGCAAGCGUUGUCCGGAUUUAUUGGGUUUAAAGGGUGCGUAGGCGGUCAUGUAAGUCAGCGGUGAAAUCCGGCAGCUCAACUGUCGAUGUGCCAUUGAUACUGCAUGACUUGAGUACUGAUGAGGUAGGCGGAAUUGACGGUGUAGCGGUGAAAUGCUUAGAUAUCGUCAAGAACACCGAUAGCGAAGGCAGCUUAC
rnacentral:rRNA from 1 species